rnacentral:rRNA from 1 species
GAGAAGUAGGGAGGAGUCGGCGGGGGAAUACAGUGGGGGCGAGCGUUGUUAGGAGUUAUUGGGCGUAAAGGGUACGUAGGCGGCGUGUAAAGUCGGAUGUGAAAGCCUACAGCUUAACGGGAGAACUGCAUUCGAAACGCACAAGCUAGAGUAUGAGAGGGGUAAAGGGAAUUCCCGGUGUAAGGGUGAAAUCUGCAGAGAUCGGGAGGAACACCAGUCGCGAAAGCGCUUUACUGGCUCAUUACUGACGCUCAGGGACGAAAGCUAGGGGAGCAAACGGGAUUAGAUACCCUUGUAGUC